UUUUUUUUUUUUUUUUUUUUUUUUUCUAUUGCUUGGCAAGACCGAGGGAGGGAAACACUUAAAAAAAAAAAAAAAGUUUCCAUUGUUAGCUAACAAAAAAAGAAAACCUUUUAACUUCUGCGGGUUAAAGAUACACGAUCCAUUUUCCACCCCUCCAGCGAGCCUCGCUGGUGGCUAGCUUUAUGAAACUUUUUUUGAAACAUGUUUUUAAUAAAGUUUGAGUGUGCAUUUUAAGCAAAGCAAAUCAUGGGGGCCUGUUUAGCAUUUAAAACGAACUAAAGCCCUAUAUAAACUGUUUGUGUCCUUGUACACAAAUAUGCAAAUUCGAAUAAGGUACUUUGUGGGCACCUCCGUUGCAGUUGCACAUUUUAAAUGCAUCACGGUCGUAUUUUGGAAGGCAGGUUGGGCUGUGAGCUGUUGAUAGUUUUGCAGUGCAAUUGCUAGUUGAAUAAACACGCCUUUGCAUUGCACAUGUUUUUUAUUACUAAAUGCACACAGCAAAUGUGACAUUGGCAUGUUUUUGCACUUAAUUCUCCAAGUUAUUUUAAGAAAAAUAAUAGGCCUGGAACUAAGAAGGCUGGGGACCCUUUGCUCAGUCUCCUGCAGCUGGAUCAUUUUCAAGAGACUUUUUCCUCCAUCAUCAGCAAAUACCUCUGGGCAAGGAUCUUACCCCAUUUAAGCUCUGAUGCUGCAAGUGUGUUUUGCAUAAUUCCCUAAACCCUAAACUAUAGCAUUUAGUGGAAAGAGGGAAAAUACAGCUGCCAGGCUCAAGAAAUGUAAAACUCUAAAGCCCAGCAUCAGUCCUUAUGUUCCUAUUAACCAGAGUUUAGUUGGAAAUUUUGACUCUGCUCUUGCUUGUUUGUAACAAUGCUGUUUAAGUGAGCAAAGCAACCUGCUGCUCCCUCAGGAAAAAACUCAUUUAAAUCUGAAACCAAGACAUCUUCUAGCCAAGAAUUCCCUGGAAUCAGACACUGUUGAGUCCUGUCUGUUUUUAUGUUUUUAACAUGCUAUGUUAAAAGGAUUGGGUCUAAUUCCUCUUCUCCCCCCCCCCCCAUGGGGCUAAGUAAAAAGAGCCUAGAGUUUAUUCAGAUAUUGCCUCAGGACCUGGGCAAUUGCUAUGGCAGAGAAGUCAGCCCUAUCCUUGCCCCUAAUUCAGUGCCCUAGUGGCAAGAAACAGGAGCUGCCAGUUCUCGAGAGACCCACUCCAGGGAGUUUAUUUCUGACUAUCACAGGAGAUACAAACACCCACAUCAGGUGUCAUGGUAGAAACAACUGAAGGGCUGAGUGAUACAUACGGUGAACAAAGAAACUUAGCUUCCCAGCCUCUGGGAAAUCUCACUGUCACCUCAUAGCUAGACUUCACAGGCCUUCCCUAGAAUUGAGAAAUUCAGGUUUCCCUGAAUGUAGAGUCAGCCUGAAGAAUUUUGCUCAGAACGUAGUCAGCAACUGGUCAGGUUGUGGCAUGCAGAAGGGAUUCCUGCCUGGGACUGGAGGUAGAGCUAGAUAAUUCUACCAGUCUAAAAUUCUAACUGUGCUAUCCAGGACAGCAAGGAGGGGGGAGAAGAUGGAGAAAAAUCCAUAUCUGGGAUCCCACAUGGCUGGCUAACCUCUUGAAACAGAAUCUAGUCACCUUCCCAGAUUUUUUUUUUAAUCACAUCUGUAGUUUUAUAAUGAUCAUAACAAUCUAAUUUCACAGGAUUUCCAUCCCACAGCCCAAGCACAUCCCCCCACCCCCCAAACUGUCUCCUCCAGAGACCAUAAGUUUUUCCAUGUCUGUGAGUCAGUAUCUGUUCUGCAAGGAAGUUCAUUGUGUCCUUUUUUCAUAUUCCACAUGUCAGUAAAAGCAUUUGAUGUUGGUGUCUCAUUGUAUGGCUGACUUCACUUAGCGUGAUAAUUUCUGGGUCCAUCCAUGUUGCAAAAAAUGCCGGUAUUUCAUUCCUUUUAAUGGCUGAGUAAUAUUCCAUUGUGUAUGUGUAUAUGUACCACAUCUUCUUGAUCCACUCCUCCGUCGAUGGACAUUCAGGUUGUUUCCAUGUCUUGGCUAUUGCAAAUAGUGCUGCAAUGAACAUCGGAAUACAUGUAUCUUUGCGAGUCGUGGUUUUCUCUGGAUAGAUGCCCAGGAGUGGGAUUGAUGGAUCAAAUGGUACUUCUAGUUUUAGUUUUCUGAGGAAUCUCUAUACUGUUUUCCACAGUGGUUGCACCAAUUUACAAUCCCACCAACGGUGUUCCUUUUUCUCUACACCCUCUCCAGCACUUGUUGUUUGUAGACUUUUUGAUGAUGGCCAUUCUGGCUGGUAUAAUGUGGUACUUCAUCAUGGCUUUGAUUUGCAUUUCUCUAAUGAUGAGUGAUGUUGAACAUCCUUUCAUGUGUUUCUCGGCCAUCUGUAUGUCUUCUUUGGAGAAUUGUCUGUUUAGAUCUUCUGCCCAUUUUUUGGUGGGGUGUUUGGUUUUUUUGGUAUGGAGCUGCAGAAGUUGUUUAUAAAUUUUGGAGAUUAAUCCCUUGUCAGUUGAUUCACUUGCAAAGAUUUUCUCCCAUUCUGUGGGUUGUCUUUUUGUGUUGUUUAGGGUUUCCUUUGCUGUGUGUGGGUUUAAUUCUGGGCUUUCUAUCCUGUUCCACUGAUCUAUAUUUCUGUCUUCACGCCAGUACCAUACAGUUUUGAUGAUUGUUGCUUUGUAGUAUUGUCUGCACCUUCCCUGAUUUUAAAUGAACAACAAAAAAUUAUACAGCACUUAUGAUUAUCCAGAUACUGUUCUAUGAGUGCUAUAAUACUUACACAUUUCAAUCCUUAAAACAGCCUGAGGAGAUACAUACUAUUAUUAUCCAUAUUUUAUAGAUGAAAAAUUAAAGCAUGAAGUAAUAUUUUGCAACAUUUAUUCAGUAUUGUACUGGAAGUCCUAGUCAGAGCAAUUACAUGAGAAAAAGAAAAGGCAUCCAGAUUGGAAAGGAAGAAGUAAAACUAUAUUUACUGACAAUAUGAUUGCCUAUAUAGACUAUCCUAUGGAAAACUAAUAAGUAAGUCUAGCAAGUAUAGUAGUGGCUUGGGCUACUGUAUCCACUACUGCUACAUAGACUGAGGGACUUAGACAACAUACAUUAAUUAUCUCACAAUUCUGGAGGCAAAAAGUCUGAGAUAGAUGUGUCAGAAGGUUUGGUUUCUUAUAAGACCACUCUCCUUGGCUUUUUUUGUUUUGUUUUGUUAGGGCCACACCCACAGCAUAUGCAAGUUCCCGGGCAAGAGGCUGAAUUGGAGCUGCAGCUGAUGGCUUACACCACAGCCACAGCAACGCAGGAUUUGAGCUUCAUCUGCAACCUACGCCAUAGCUUGCAACACCAUAUCCUUAACCCACUGAUGGAGGCCAGGAUUUGAACCUGCAUCCUCAUGGAUAUUGGUUGGGUUUGUAACCCACUGAGCCACAGUGGGAACUCCUGCAGAUUCACUAUCUUGAUUGUAGUGAAAUACAGACAUUGAUGAAAACUUAUCAGAUUGCAUGUUAUUGUACUGUAUGUCAAUUAUGACUUAAUAAAAGCAUUAAAAGAUAGCCAUGGACAGAAUACAGGCUUUGAUAAGGAUGUUAUGGGCCCCUACCCUAGUGCCAAACACAACACCUGACACAUAAUAUUCCUUCUGGAUGAAAUAUGAAAUCAUUCAUUCAGUGAUUCACUCAUGAACUUCAUGGAAUAACUCUGUGUUCCCAUCAUACACAACUCUGUUAAAUUACUGGCUGCACUAUAAAAACUUCAGUCUUCCUUUGUUCCCUACUAGAUGGUGAGCUCUUCAAGGGAAGGACUCUGAUUUAUUUUUCUUAGCCUUAGGUUUUAAUCCCACACAGAAUGGAGCUAUAUAUGUUUAUUAAAUUAAAAAAAAAAAAAAAGGAGUUGUUGUUGUGGCUCAGCAGUAACGAAACCAACUAGUAUCCAUGAGGACUCGGGUUCGAUCCCUGGCUUCACAAUGGGUUAAGGAUCCAGCAUUGCCAUGAGCUGAGGUGUAGGUCGCAGAUGUGGCUCAGAUCUGGCAUUGCUGUGGCUGUGGUGUAGGCCGGCAGAUGCAGCUCCGAUUCGACCCCUAGCCGGGGAACUUCCGUAUGCCACAGGUGCUGCCCUAAAAGGAUUAAAAAAAAAAAAAAAAAAAAAAA
rnacentral:lncRNA from 1 species